CCGUGGUAUAUUGACCAUGCGAAGGUAGCAUAAUCAUUUGCCCUCUAAUUAGGGGCUGGAAUGAAGGGUCAGACGAGGAACGAUCUGUCUCUACUUUUAUUUUGAAGUUAAUUUUUUGGUGAAAAAGCUAAAAUUUUCUUGGAGGACGAUAAGACCCUAUAGAUCUUUAUAAGCUUAGGUCCUAUUAGUUGGAUGUUAAUUAAUAGGAUUCCAGCUUAUUUUGUUGGGGCGACGUUGAGAGGAGAUAAAUCCCUCAAUUUGGUUAUACAAAUACAAUUGUUUAAAUGAUCCUUUAGUGAAUCAGGAUUAAGUUACCUUAGGGAUAACAGCGUAAUUCUUCUUGAGAGCUCAAAUCGACAGAAGAGUUUGCGACCUCGAUGUUGGUUCAGGGCCCCUACUAGGUGUA
rnacentral:rRNA from 1 species